rnacentral:rRNA from 1 species
GGAAAAGAAAUUAACCAAGAUUCCUUUAGUAGCGGCGAGCGAAACAGGAAAAGCCCAGCACUAAGCCCUCCGGUCGUUCUGGCCGGUAGGGGAUGCAGUGUAUGGAAAGUCUAUUAUCUUAUGCGACGGUAGUACGUUCAAGUCCAUCUUGAAUGGGGCCAUUUUACCCAUAGAGGGUGCCAGGCCCGUACCAACUGCUACCAGUAUAAGAAGGCUAUUCCAAAGAGUCGUGUUGCUUGAUAGUGCAGCACUAAGUGGGUGGUAAACUCCAUCUAAGGCUAAAUAUAACCACGAGACCGAUAGCGAACAAGUACCGUGAGGGAAAGUUGAAAAGCACUCUGAAUAGAGAGUUAAAUAGUACGUGAAACCGCUUAGGGGUUAAGCCCGAUGAACCUGAAUAUCUGAAUUGCGAAAUUCAGUGCUGUUUGGCGAUGUAUCUUAAUGGGUCACCAACAGUAUGCACUUUUCGCAUAGUAGGACAUUGCGAUCCAUUCGUAGUUCUCUUUGAGACGGUUUAUCAAACGGCCUGCGUAGUCAGUUUAACCUGUCUGCAGUACUAGUUGCUGUAUGGUUAAUGCUAUUGCGGUGACCUGGUAAACAGCGGAUGGAGCUUAACAAUCAUGCUCACAUGCAAUGCAAUUGUAUCACGGCCGUGACGUAUUUAUAUGUUGCGGUGCAGUGAUCGCAUGUAUUUGAUUAGCAAUGCGAUAGAUUUGGGAUACCUUCGGGACCCGUCUUGAAACACGGACCAAGAAGUCUAACAUGUGUGCGAGUCAUUGGGUAUUUCGUUGAAACCUAAAGGCGCAAUUAAAAUAACUAUUUUAUGGGAUUACGAGCGAUCUCCAAUGAUCGUUCCUCCAUCCCGGGGCGUUCUAUGUGAACAUGGUACCAGCAAUGGGACCCUCUGUUCGAGAGCGUACCUUGAGCAUACAUGCU